GCUCUGCUCUCUUAACUUUUGUCCUGAAACCUCUUAGACUUCUGCAAAAUAUUCCUUCCAUCUUUAAGCUUUAUGGCUUCUGGAAGGUAACCAUCUAAGUUGAUUGCUUGGAGGCGUCGGGUUCAAAGUUCAUGAUGCUUAUCAAUUGAGAGAGGAACGGGGGGCACUGGGAUAGCAACCGAAAUUGCCAUUCCGAUCAUUGGCAUUUGAACUCAAAGUGUCAAAAGCACGAAAUCGUUUGAGAUUACCCGAAAACCGAGGCACAAACUGGGAGGCAGAGUUUGAUGCUCCCGGCUGCUGACCCACAUAAGGAACACUCCUCCCAUUACCCAUUACCCUCUACCCGCGUAGUGUCUCUGGUCCUCCGAUUUGCUGGCCUGGUCGAGUGAAAGUUUCCUCUUCUCUGGCUGACGGGGGCUGGCUUGAGUAAUUUUCAACAAUUUACGACAAAUUUGCAUUGGGCCUGUUGAAAUUUUCGGGCUGUGGUGUGAAAAAUAUGAAAGUGAAAAUGAAAAUUGCCUAAUGAGCGCGUUUAACUCUGAUUUGGAUGUGUGAAGUUGAUGUGAAAAGCGAUGUGAGCGAUGGCAGUGAGGCGUGACUGACGACGGGCUUGUGGUGUGGUGUGGUGUGAUGGCUGUAACAUGGAUACGACACCACCGGUGCAUUGUCCAUUUCAGCCCAGCGUCGUAUCCUGUAUGGGCAGGAUAUGCAUGUCGCUGAGUUGCAGCUGCAGUGGAAACUAGCCAACACAUCCUGGGGCGCAAAAAAUGAAACAAUGUUUAAUAAAACAGAAAAAAGUGGCGACAUUGUCACAUGAAUCAGCAAGGAGGAAGUCAAGGGUGAACGACCACGAGGACACCCAGUAAGUUUUUGGCCCGAAAACUUUUUACAAAAUCCAAAAACGUUUUUAAGGCAAUUGGAAACAUUUUUUGCUGCUAAGCUGCUGCUGAUGCGGAUGCUGCCCCCACAGCAUCCCCACUUGACUUUGGCCAAGACCUGGAGGUGGAUUGGAUUGGAUUGGCCCGGAAUGGCAUGGCUUUGAUACUUUAUUUAUUUGAGGUUUCUGUGUGGUUUUGUGAACUCAUUUGAAAUAAUUACACCGCCCGGCUGAAACGCUUUUA
rnacentral:sRNA from 1 species